rnacentral:sRNA from 1 species
CCCGUCCGUCCCGUGGACGCCCACGACCGUUCCCCGGUGCUCCGGGCUACCCUGACGGCGUGCGCCUUCCACGGGAAGCGCAAAGCCGACAGCCGUCGCACUCCAGGGAGCACCUUCAUG